GAGCCGCUAGCUCAGUUGGUAGAGCAACAGCCUUUUAAGCUGUGGGUCGUAGGUUCGAUUCCUACGCGGCUCACCA
rnacentral:tRNA from 1 species